GCCUGGAUCAUGCUACCAGGUGUGGUGGUCGAGGCAGAAACGAUAGUGACAUUUAAGAGGCUUUUAGAUGGGCACACAUAUAUGCAGAAAAUGGAGAGAUAUCGAUCAAGUACAGGA